AGAAGGAAUAACUGAGUUACAAUGAGACCAGUAUCAACAAUUUCAAAUAGGUUUGUACAAAAAUAACAGAAAAAACACAAAGUAUGUCACUAGUAUUCUGUGAUAUAGAUGAUAUUGCUUUAAAACUUGCAGCUUUUAGCAGUUGUCUAAGGGCCUGUUUAUAUCGAAACUGGCUGGCCCACUAAGUGAGACAGCCCGGUAAGUGAGAUCUCACUGUCUAGUUAUUUUUAUAGUACAAAUUAUCAUUUCUAUGGACAAGCAGGCAGGCCCGGUUGCCAAGACCAGGAUGGAAAUUUCUCCACAUAAACAAUCAUAAGCAGGCUAGCCCGGUUGCCGGGAUGAAAGUUCAAAGAUACUGCCGCAAGCUACUUUUAACAACUGUCAAAAUAAUGUCAAUGAAAACAACAAAAUUGUCCCGGUAAGCGGAAUGAAAUUUUCUCAAAUAAACACAAGAGAAAUCAUCCUGCUUACCUAUACCUUACCGGGCUGUCUUGCUAAGAGGGCCAGCCCGGCUUCCAUACAAACAGGCCCUAACAGUCUCUGUCAGGCAAUUGCAAUGUUCUAAUGUCCAAACUCUAAAGUAUUAUAAACAAGUAGUAAGUCUGUAGUAAGUUGCUAGUAAGUCAUAUCAACAUGUGAUCUUGACAAUAUACAGUGUAUAAACUAAAGUAAUUCAGCUUCUACACAUGAAGCGACUUUAAACACUAUCCUUACACUUUAUCAAUUCAUUGAAGUUUGUACUUAAAAGACAUUCUAUUUGUAGUAUUAAAUAUAAGACAUAUUCUAUUUGUAGUAUCAAGUCACAUCAGGAUUUUAUAAUCUAGCGUCUUUGGACCCAAGUGAUCUAGAGUUCUAUCUUGUUAAAACCUAUCCAAGGAAAAACAAAAAAGGGAUAUUGAAGUAAUGGUGUUUUUGAGCCAAAUAAAUUCGAAUAUCCACAAGUAUAAAAGCAGAACUCAGUAUAUACCGGAGACAAAAUGGCAUCAUAGCAAACACAUUUUAAUGAUGCUCAAAUUUAUAUUCAGUGCGCUAUAUUUUUAAAAAUAUGACCCUGUUUGCUUUCUAAAUACAACAAAAUUACUGCUUUACCUUCUGUUCAAAUAGUUCCACAGGUAAAUCGAAGUCACAUUUCGUACUACUUGAAAAAAAGCUGUUUUUACUGUAGAAAUGACAACUUCCCAAUAUAAUUUUCUAUUGUCAACACUGCAUUACACUCAUU
rnacentral:lncRNA from 1 species